rnacentral:rRNA from 1 species
CGGGGGGGCAAGCGUUGUUCGGAAUUACUGGGCGUAAAGGGCGCGUAGGCGGUUCGCUAAGUCGGAUGUGAAAACUCUGGGCUCAACCCAGAGCCUGCAUCCGAAACUGACGGGCUAGAGUUCUGGAGGGGUAGCGGAAUUCCUGGUGUAGCGGUGAAAUGCGUAGAUAUCAGGAGGAACACCGGUGGCGAAGGCGGCUACCUGGACAGAAACUGACGCUGAGGCGCGAAAGCUAGGGGAGCAAACAGGAUUAGAUACCCUGGUAGUCCUAGCCCUAAACGAUGGAUACUUGGUGUGACUGGGAUUGAAUCCAGUCGUGCCGAAGCUAACGCAUUAAGUAUCCCGCCUGGGGAGUACGGUCGCAAGGCUG